AGAGUUUGAUCAUGGCUCAGGAUGAACGCUGGCGGCGUGCCUAAUACAUGCAAGUCGAACGGGAGACCUCAUUUCGAUGGGGUUGAGAGUGGCGCACGGGUGAGGAACACAUGGCUGACCUGCCCUUCAGAGGGGGAUAACGGCUGGAAACGGCUGCUAAUACCCCAUACGCUCCUUGGGAUUAGAGGCCUGAGGAGGAAAGCCUUCGGGUGCUGAAGGAGGGGGCUGUGGCCCAUCAGCUUGUUGGUAGGGUAACGGCCUACCAAGGCGACGACGGGUAGGGGGCCUGAGAGGGUGACCCCCCACACUGGGACUGAGACACGGCCCAGACUCCUACGGGAGGCAGCAGUAAGGGAUCUUGCGACAAUGGGCGAAAGCCUGACGCAGCAACGCCGCGUGCGGGAGGACGGCCUUCGGGUUGUAAACCGCUUUUCGGGGGGAAGAGGAAGGACGGUACCCCCGGAAGAAGUCUCGGCUAACUACGUGCCAGCAGCCGCGGUAAAACGUAGGAGGCGAGCGUUAUCCGGAUUUACUGGGUGUAAAGCGCGUGUAGGCGGUCCUGCAAGUGGUGCGUGAAAGCGCCCGGCUCAACCGGGCGAGGACGUGGGCGAACUGCAGGGCUAGAGGCAGGUAGAGGCGUGUGGAAUUCCGGGUGUAGUGGUGAAGUGCGUAGAGAUCCGGAGGAACACCAGUGGCGAAGGCGACACGCUGGGCCUGGCCUGACGCUGAGAGGCGAAAGCAUGGGGAGCGAACGGGAUUAGAAACCCCGGUAGUCCAUGCCGUAAACGAUGCUGACUAGGUGUGGCGGGUAUGAACUCCUGCCGUGCCGGAGCCAACGUGGUAAGUCAGCCACCUGGGGACUACGGCCGCAAGGUUAAAACUCAAAGGAAUUGACGG
rnacentral:rRNA from 1 species